UUACGUACCGUUGUGUAAAUAAAUAGUGUUGCUCCUAAGAUAACGCCUGCGACUCAGUUGGACUCACUACACAUACACUCGUAACGAAGGCAUUCAGCCGGGCCCUCAGUGCCUUCUUUAGUGACCAUCGCUAUUCUUGGCCCCUGACCCAUGUGGACUGAUGCCCAUCUCAUAGGCAAUCCUGUCUGUAUGUAUGUUGAACGUCUUUCGCACCAUAAGUAGCCAAACGUGCUCAUCGGAGGUGCCAGUUUCCGCACUGAAGUCUCCGCGGACAACCAAGGGCAUCUUAAGUGGGACACGUGUUCACCAGUGAGUCUGAGUGGUGAAGCAUAGCAUAGGUUUGCUUGUCCUCAAGAUCACUCACCUCGUUGGGAGCGUAGACAGUGGUAAGAGGCACCCAAAAGAGCGCCUCAGCUUCAUCGUCGUCAUCAUUGUCCACUCACUGACCGCAGUGACCCAUAACCACCAGGGGAACUAGAGCACCCUCAACCACAGUGGCCACCCAAUGCUGGUGUUCACCCCCCCAGGCAGCCCGAGCAGCAGUGGUCUAACCACCACGACUGACCUUGACCUCCCCAUUGUGACAACACCUCAAACAGGGCGGCCACUUUGGCCGUUAGUCUGCGCAGUUCCUUUUGAUAGGAGGGCCAAGGUAUCAUCAUCUCCCAGAGUUAGGACGUUCCAGGAGAUGAACCUUACAACUCGCCAAAGGUUCACCCCAGGCUGGCACCUUCGGGGGCGGGGGGGGGGGGUAUGACCCCCUCAGCUCUCCACCACUUGUGCCCUUUGACCGCUGGAACAGCUGGGCUCGGGCGCCAGCAAGAAGCCACUGCCCCCCUGGUCGCUGGUCCUGCAGACCUUUGUUGGGGCAUCAGUGGAGGGUCCUUACACAUGGCUAGGUCCCAACUCGUUUUCAGUGACUGGGAACAAAAAAUCGGUCCAGGCAUUUAUAAACACAGCGGUCCAAAUUUGGGCUAUGGACAUUUCUUUUUUAAACGAGUUGUGCGACGACCUUUGCGCUGUGACGUCUUAGCGCGAUUUUGCUGUGCGAUCUCAUUGGCUCAUUCGGACUGGUCAAAAAAACAAAUGGGCCGAUGAAUAAGAAUCAUUGGGGCUGCUGAAAAUGGGACUUAAUGCCAACUGAGAGUGUAAAUAACCAAUGAGGCGUACACAGAAGUAAUACAAUAUUCUAAUUUAAUUUUUACUCUGACCACAUUUGUAAUUUUCUCGCACAGACCGGCCCACAGUACGGACUGCUGCCCCGAUGGCCAGUCCGGACCUGGUGGAAUUCGACCGCGGAUAUUUGGGUUAAUUGUAAUAAAAACAAAUCUCUUAUCCGUGACUUCAUGUCGUCGUGGAGAGGGAGAGUUUAACUUUUAUGAAAUAAUGUAUGCAUGUUUAAUCUAUUUCACACCGUACGUAGCCAACCGUGCUAAUCGGAGGUGCGAUGACUACGUAUCAUAUACAUCAUUUGAAUAUGGAGUCAUGCUGUAAGCAUGUAUAACAUACAGGAUUAGCGUCAGCUGUAUUACCCUCAGUUUUUGCUUCCCUAGUUCCCCAUUUCAAAUCCAACAUGAGUCCCUUGAAAAUGCAAUGCACUGACACCAGAUAUUUUCGCCAUUGGCUAAUUUGUGUGAAUGUAAAUGAUUCUCGUUGACACUAGCAAUUGGCACGUCAUUGUGUGCCGGAGUGAACAGGUGCAUUUGAAGCAUUACUAUCAAUAACUUAAUUACCACAUUGUACCUUCCUUUGUGUGUGCUAGGGCAAGAUGCCCCUGAACCGAGCUGUGACGAAGCAUCAGGCCCGACAGGCCGGCGCCUGUCAGGCCAUCAAUCGUCGCUCCUCAUCGCACGUCUCCCUGGCAACACCUCCGGUGCCAGCGUACGAUCCACCCGUCUGCAACCGAAUCUCCCGUUAAAGAGCAGGCAGCAACUCUCCGCCGUGCCAGUCCGCGGAUGAGCGAGGGAGACCGCUCCACACCUCACGAGGAGGAGGACGAGGAGGGGCCACGCGGUCCCCUGUGGCCACGAGGAGGGGCCACGCGGUCCCCUGUGGCCACGAGGAGGGGCCACGCGGUCCCCUGUGGCCACGAGGAGGGGCCACGCGGUCCCCUGUGGCCACGAGGAGGGGCCACGCGGCCCCCUGUGGCCACGAGGAGGGGCCACGCGGUCCCAGGUGCACCAGGCGUGGCCGUCGCGACGCCGCUGUGCGUCACGCGGAGCCACGUUCCACACCCCUCGCCUUCCUCUCACCCCGAGGGGGUUUUGUGCAACGCGUGAAUUACAAAUGCCCAGAUGCCCCCCCCCCCCCCCCCAUUGUGUUUAUCAUUACCAGAGGCGCGCCGCUCUCCUCUCAACCACCAAUGUAAUGUGUGUUGAACUUCUCUCGUUCUCAUCGCACGUAUUCCUCACCGUGCACUUCGUUGUCUCGACUAGCUCAUGGGAAUCGAUGGAAUUCAUCGUGAACGUUUGUCUUGGCGGGCAAGAACAUUGCUGCCCUUUGACGGUGCGCCACGUGUCGGGGGAGUGAAGGGCAACAGCCUGGCCAGAUCAUUCUGCAGUCCCGACUAAAACAUAUUAGCAGUCACAUUGUGUGUAUGUAUGUUGAACUUCUUUCGCACCGUACGUCGCCUACCGUGUUAAUUGGAGGUGCGGGGGCAAGGGAAGGACAACAAACUAAACACAAAAAGCGGUUUUAAAGAAAUUGAAUUUUCAAUCUACAUUUAUAAGUCCGUAGCACCCGUGCUACGUAUAGCAUGGAAAGCCAAAAUAUGAAACAUGUGCGUCUCGAGAGAGAUCGAUCCCACUCUUCCACUCGAGGCUUUAUUCGUGAAGCAGAAAUUGACAUCACGUUGGACACGUUGUGAGGCCCUCUGGACUCGAGGAAUCGGUCUUUGCUUGGGAAUGGAGAAUGUAGCAGGGGCAGAGGUCAACCUUGGAGGUGGUGGAUGGACGACAUCAAGAACACCGCUGGCCUUACACACUAACCCAGCUACGAAAGGCAGCCAGAGACAGGUGGUGUGGAUGGCGGAGUCUGGUGGUGGAUGUCACCAGAGGUCAUACUCGACCUGACGGCACAGGGUGGCAGGGUGAGCACCAGUGAAAUCCCCCAUUCAUUCACCGGCGUUGCCCAUUCAUGUAAAAUAAAAAAAAAGAUUCCUGA